rnacentral:tRNA from 1 species
UCCCUUGUAGCUCAGUUGGUAAAGAAUCUGCCUGCAAUGCAGGAGACUCGGGUUUGAUUCCUGCGUUGGGAA